GAGAUUAUUUUUUUUCUGUGCUUUUUUCUCUUUCUAGCCACCUAACAAGGGGAUAGGUGAUGCAUUCAGAGAUGAAGGAUCACUGAUGACAGGAGAAGAAGAUCUGGACCAGCAGUGGGGAAUCUGCAGCCUUGAGGCUAUAGUCAAAGGGUUGUGUACUUGAGAACCUGGAGGGACACAUGUGGCCUUGAGGCCACAGGUUCCUCAUCCCUGAUCUGGACAAAAGUAUCUAUGCACGCUAGACACUCCCUGUCUCCAUUUGUGGAAAUGUUAAACUUUGGACAACCAG
rnacentral:lncRNA from 1 species